rnacentral:misc_RNA from 1 species
AACGCAAAUUGCACUCCCUGGUAUUCCGGGGAGUAUGCCUGUUUGAGGGUCGUUAGAAUAAAAAUCGAGGCGUCGCUCUUUUUUUAAGGGUGAUCGCGUCGGAAUUGAGCCGUCUUUCAAAUGUUAAUUCAUGUCAAAGUGGCUUAAAAUUCAUCCAUCCGGUACGAUUAAAGCGUAUUUAAGAUCAAUUUUGAUUAAGAACGCGCGAUGACGUACCAUCUCAUGUAGUACGUUUGACCUGGGUCAUCAGGUUCAUUCGUAUACGAUACUCAAACUUUUGACCUCAAAUCAGGUAAGAAUACCCGCUGAACUUAA